rnacentral:ncRNA from 1 species
UCGAGGGGCGCUGCGACGGUACGCAUCGGCGUUCCUGCCAGGCUCGAUGAGGUGGAAUAUUAUCGUUGCAACGGCGCCCGUUCA